AGUCGAGCGAACAGACGAGGAGCUUGCUCCUCUGACGUUAGCGGCGGACGGGUGAGUAACACGUGGAUAACCUACCUAUAAGACUGGGAUAACUUCGGGAAACCGGAGCUAAUACCGGAUAAUAUAUUGAACCGCAUGGUUCAAUAGUGAAAGACGGUUUUGCUGUCACUUAUAGAUGGAUCCGCGCCGCAUUAGCUAGUUGGUAAGGUAACGGCUUACCAAGGCAACGAUGCGUAGCCGACCUGAGAGGGUGAUCGGCCACACUGGAACUGAGACACGGUCCAGACUCCUACGGGAGGCAGCAGUAGGGAAUCUUCCGCAAUGGGCGAAAGCCUGACGGAGCAACGCCACGUGAGUGAUGAAGGUCUUCGGAUCGUAAAACUCUGUUAUUAGGGAAGAACAAAUGUGUAAGUAACUAUGCACGUCUUGACGGUACCUAAUCAGAAAGCCACGGCUAACUACGUGCCAGCAGCCGCGGUAAUACGUAGGUGGCAAGCGUUAUCCGGAAUUAUUGGGCGUAAAGCGCGCGUAGGCGGUUUUUUAAGUCUGAUGUGAAAGCCCACGGCUCAACCGUGGAGGGUCAUUGGAAACUGGAAAACUUGAGUGCAGAAGAGGAAAGUGGAAUUCCACGUGUAGCGGUGAAAUGCGCAGAGAUAUGGAGGAACACCAGUGGCGAAGGCGACUUUCUGGUCUGUAACUGACGCUGAUGUGCGAAAGCGUGGGGAUCAAACAGGAUUAGAUACCCUGGUAGUCCACGCCGUAAACGAUGAGUGCUAAGUG
rnacentral:rRNA from 1 species